UCCACACCGCCUUGCAAGCUGAGGGAGCCGGCUCCGGCCUCUGCCAGCCCAGGAAGGGGCUCCCACAGUGCAGCGGCGGGCUGAAGGACUCCUCAAGUGCCACCAAAGUGGGAGCCCAGGCAGAGGAGGCGCCGAGAGCGAGCGAGGGCUGCCUGCCAGCACGCUGUCACGUCUCAGCAAUAGACUGCUCUUGAGGCUGGAGUGCAAUGUUGUUAUCAUAGCUCACUGCAACCUGGAACCCCUAGUCUCAAGAGAUCCUCCAGCCUCAGCCUCCCUGGGAUGGCUAUUUUUGUUACUUCUGAAUUCUACUACAAAAGAGUGCUGCAAUAAAAAUCUUUGAACAAGUUCUAAUGCCGUUCAACUGGAAUUGAAGUUUUCAAUCGUUGGAUAUGUCAAAAUUUAAUCAGAUUGUAUAUUGCUCAAUUACUUUCAAAUUAUGUACACCAAGUCAUUCUUGCUCUGGCAAAAUAAGAAUAUUUUCAUUAAUAUAUCAUUCAACUUGAAAUUGCCCAGCUUUUCCUUCUCAUUUCCCCCCAGUCAAAUGAGUUGAAUUAAUACUGUCUAAAAAUAUAUAUUCAUUUGCUUACCUGUUAGUAUUUGUUCCAUGUAUUAAGAAGCUUUGCUAGUAUAUGAAAAUAUAUGUAUUACCAUGUCUUGUGAAUUAGUACUUUUAUCAUUUUGAAAUGUUUGUUUUCAUUUCUGCUGACCGUUCUAACCUGGGUAUCUAUUUUGACUGGUUUUUAAUGUAACUACUAACAUCUUUUUAUGUUCAGCACUUUUUCACAAUUUUACUUUCAAUGUCUUUAUUUUUAAAAUGUAUCUUCUGUAGACAGUGUACAGGUGGUCUUGUUUUAUUGUAAAUCAAGUGACAAUCUCUAUUUCAUAAUUGACAUAUUUAAUCCAUAUAUAUUUAAUUUAAUUGUUGUUAUUUUGAGACUUAAUAUCCAGUUUUACUAUUUUGGCCCAUUUAUUUUUGGUUUAUUUUAGAUGUCUUGCCUUAUCUUAGAUUGAUUGAUAUUUUUAGUAUUUAAUUACAUUUCUUUUAUAAAUGUAAUUUCUUGAAUAUUUGUUUUUAUUUUAGCAAUUGCUCUGGGAAUAUAAAAAUCAUCUUUAAAAUCUAUUUAGAGUUAAUGGUACUACUUUAUGCAGUAGGUAAAAACAUUUCACUAGCACAAUUUCAUUUGCAGGCACCUAACCUUCUGUGAUAGUAUUGUCUUAUAUUGUUAUAUUUAUGAGAUACAAUCACUACAGUAAAAUACUAUUUUCUAUUCAUUGUGCCAUCUUAUAAAUAAACAGAUGAAUAAACAGAUAUUUUUGAAUCCAGGAUACAUGUGCAGGAUGUGCAAGUUUGCUACAUGGGUAAAUAUGUGCCAUGGCAGUUUGCUGCAUCUAUUAACCCAUUACCUAGGUAUUAAGCCCGGUACAAGAGUUAUGGAAAAGCUGCACUCUUCUACUUCCAAAGUUUAACUUCUUCACAGAAGUCAGUUUCAGAGUUGAGAAAAGCAAAUACUUGCUACAUAUUUUGAGGAACAAUAAGUAUUGAAGUUGCAAACAGGUUCUAUGGAUAUUUGUCAACAGAAGAUAGCUGAUCACAAAUGCGCAGAGAGGUAGAAAAAUGACACAAUGACCACCCUACCCUCUGAGUCAGCAAAUUGUUUUCUCAGUACAUUUCUACUCUGGUCCUUGUUUAAUAAAACCUCUUUCUCCUUACAAAUAAGAAUGGCAGAAAUGUGAAGAGUUAUUGUGUGGGGAAGUGGCCUCUACAUAGAAAUGUUUUUCCACUGAAUGUUCCUGUUGUGCUGAUGAACAAAGGAGUUCAUCACAGGCCAGAAACUAAGAUAGAUAGAUAAAUAAAUAAAUAAAUAAAUAAG
rnacentral:lncRNA from 10 species